rnacentral:rRNA from 1 species
AUUGAACGCUGGCGGCAUGCCUUACACAUGCAAGUCGAACGGUAACGCGGGGCAACCUGGCGACGAGUGGCGAACGGGUGAGUAAUGUAUCGGAACGUGCCCAGUUGUGGGGGAUAACUGCUCGAAAGAGCAGCUAAUACCGCAUACGACCUGAGGGUGAAAGCGGGGGAUCGCAAGACCUCGCGCAAUUGGAGCGGCCGAUAUCAGAGUAGGUAGUUGGUGAGGUAAAGGCUCACCAAGCCGACGAUCUGUGGCUGGUCUGAGAGGACGACCAGCCACACUGGGACUGAGACACGGCCCAGACUCCUACGGGAGGCAGCAGUGGGGAAUUUUGGACAAUGGACGCAAGUCUGAUCCAGCCAUGCCGCGUGCGGGAAGAAGGCCUUCGGGUUGUAAACCGCUUUUGUCAGGGAAGAAACGCUCUGGGUUAAUACCUCGGGGUAAUGACGGUACCUGAAGAAUAAGCACCGGCUAACUACGUGCCAGCAGCCGCGGUAACAC